AGAUUGAACGCUGGCGGCAUGCCUUACACAUGCAAGUCGAACGGCAGCACGGGAGCAAUCCUGGUGGCGAGUGGCGAACGGGUGAGUAAUAUAUCGGAACGUGCCCAGUCGUGGGGGAUAACGCAGUGAAAGCUGUGCUAAUACCGCAUACGAUCUAUGGAUGAAAGCGGGGGACUCGCAAGAGCCUCGCGCGAUUGGAGCGGCCGAUAUCAGAUUAGCUAGUUGGUGGGGUAAAAGCCCACAAGGCGACGAUCUGUAGCUGGUCUGAGAGGACGACCAGCCACACUGGAACUGAGACACGGUCCAGACUCCUACGGGAGGCAGCAGUGGGGAAUUUGGACAAUGGGCGCAAGCCUGAUCCAGCAAUGCCGCGUGCAGGAUGAA
rnacentral:rRNA from 1 species